UGGGGAAUUUUGGACAAUGGGCGAAAGCCUGAUCCAGCAAUGCCGCGUGUGUGAAGAAGGCCUUCGGGUUGUAAAGCACUUUUGUCCGGAAAGAAAUCCUCUGGGUUAAUACCUCGGGGGGAUGACGGUACCGGAAGAAUAAGCACCGGCUAACUACGUGCCAGCAGCCGCGGUAAUACGUAGGGUGCAAGCGUUAAUCGGAAUUACUGGGCGUAAAGCGUGCGCAGGCGGUUUUGUAAGACGGAUGUGAAAUCCCCGGGCUUAACCUGGGGAACUGCAUUCGUGACUGGCAAGGCUAGAGUAUGGCAGAGGGGGGUAGAAUUCCACGUGUGAGCAGUGAAAUGCGUAGAGAUGUGGAGGAAUACCGAUGGCGAAGGCGAGCCCCUGGGCCAAUACCUGACGCUCAUGCACGAAAGCGUGGGGGAGCAAAC
rnacentral:rRNA from 1 species